GAAGCGUGCACAAACGGCGAGCGUGUGCCACAGCGAACCAGGAGACGGCCCUGAGACCCUUUAUUAGACUGAGCCUUCCGCCGCCGCCGCCGCCUUCCCCCGAAGAAGUAAGAAGUUUCCGAAAUACGUCCGCCCACCACCACACUCACGAUAGAAUGAUGUGCAUUGUGUAUCAUUCACAUUCUCCAAUACAUGAAUGCCAUGAUUGUAAAA